AUGUGGCUCAGUGGAAUAGCACUUGCCCAGCAUGCAGGGGACCCUGGGUUCAAACCCCAGCAU
rnacentral:tRNA from 1 species